GACAGAGGGUGCAAACGUUGUUCGGAAUUACUGGGCGUAAAGCGUGUGUAGGCGGUCCGAUAAGUCGGGUGUGAAAGCCCUGGGCUCAACCCAGGAAGUGCACUCGAAACUGCCGGGCUGGAGUAUGGGAGAGGUGAGUGGAAUUCCCGGUGUAGCGGUGAAAUGCGUAGAUAUCGGGGAGGAACACCUGUGGCGAAAGCGGCUCACUGGACCAUUACUGACGCUGAGGCUCGAAAGCUAGGGGAGCAAACAGG
rnacentral:rRNA from 1 species